AUGAACGCUAGCGACAGGCUUAACACAUGCAAGUCGAGGGGCAGCACAGGUAGCAAUACCGGGUGGCGACCGGCGCACGGGUGAGUAACGCGUAUGCAACUUGCCUAUCAGAGGGGGAUAACCCGGCGAAAGUCGGACUAAUACCGCAUGAAGCAGGGGCCCCGCAUGGGGAUAUUUGCUAAAGAUUCAUCGCUGAUAGAUAGGCAUGCGUUCCAUUAGGCAGUUGGCGGGGUAACGGCCCACCAAACCGACGAUGGAUAGGGGUUCUGAGAGGAAGGUCCCCCACAUUGGUACUGAGACACGGACCAAACUCCUACGGGAGGCAGCAGUGAGGAAUAUUGGUCAAUGGCCGAGAGGCUGAACCAGCCAAGUCGCGUGAGGGAUGAAGGUUCUAUGGAUCGUAAACCUCUUUUAUAAGGGAAUAAAGUGCGGGACGUGUCCCGUUUUGUAUGUACCUUAUGAAUAAGGAUCGGCUAACUCCGUGCCAGCAGCCGCGGUAAUACGGAGGAUCCGAGCGUUAUCCGGAUUUAUUGGGUUUAAAGGGUGCGUAGGCGGCCUUUUAAGUCAGCGGUGAAAGUCUGUGGCUCAACCAUAGAAUUGCCGUUGAAACUGGGGGGCUUGAGUAUGUUUGAGGCAGGCGGAAUGCGUGGUGUAGCGGUGAAAUGCAUAGAUAUCACGCAGAACCCCGAUUGCGAAGGCAGCCUGCCAAGCCAUUACUGACGCUGAUGCACGAAAGCGUGGGGAUCAAACAGGAUUAGAUACCCUGGUAGUCCACGCAGUAAACGAUGAUCACUAGCUGUUUGCGAUACACUGUAAGCGGCACAGCGAAAGCGUUAAGUGAUCCACCUGGGGAGUACGCCGGCAACGGUGAAACUCAAAGGAAUUGACGGGGGCCCGCACAAGCGGAGGAACAUGUGGUUUAAUUCGAUGAUACGCGAGGAACCUUACCCGGGUUUGAACGCAUUCGGACCGAGGUGGAAACACCUUUUCUAGCAAUAGCCGUUUGCGAGGUGCUGCAUGGUUGUCGUCAGCUCGUGCCGUGAGGUGUCGGCUUAAGUGCCAUAACGAGCGCAACCCUUGCCACUAGUUACUAACAGGUGAUGCUGAGGACUCUGGUGGGACUGCCAGCGUAAGCUGCGAGGAAGGCGGGGAUGACGUCAAAUCAGCACGGCCCUUACAUCCGGGGCGACACACGUGUUACAAUGGCGUGGACAAAGGGAGGCCACCUGGCGACAGGGAGCGAAUCCCCAAACCACGUCUCAGUUCGGAUCGGAGUCUGCAACCCGACUCCGUGAAGCUGGAUUCGCUAGUAAUCGCGCAUCAGCCAUGGCGCGGUGAAUACGUUCCCGGGCCUUGUACACACCGCCCGUCAAGCCAUGGGAGCCGGGGGUACCUGAAGUCCGUAACCGAAAGGAUCGGCCUAGGGUAAAACUGGUGACUGGGGCU
rnacentral:rRNA from 1 species